rnacentral:rRNA from 1 species
UUUUAAAUUGAGAGUUUGAUCCUGGCUCAGGACGAACGCUGGCGGCGUGCCUAACACAUGCAAGUCGAGCGAUGAA